UUUUCUUACAGAUCCUUGUAACCAUCCUGUUGAUGUAUUCUCUGCUGGUUUUGCUGACAAAAACAAUCUGUUUGAAUUGAAUGGAGCCUCACGAUUAUUGGGCUGCCUGAUAUAUUAUAGUUCAUAUGUAUUUUCUCUGCCGAUUUUGCGAAAGAUCAUCAGAUUCAAUAAGAUUAUUAGGUUUUUGUGAGAUUACGAUUGAGGAUUGUGUUUGGAUUGGAAUCGGGAUUGAUUCAUGGAGAAAUCAAUGAGAGAUUGAGGAAAACGAUGCCGGAAUUAGCGGUUGAUUGUCGAACGACGUCGUAUGGAGCAGUUUCUUUGAGUGGAUUUUGGUCGAAGCAUUGUGGUGAUGUUAGUUAUAAUCAGCUUCAUAAGGUUUGGAUGCGACUAUUUCGAUGACGGCGGUGUAGGUUUGGAUGCGGUGAAAACG